rnacentral:rRNA from 1 species
AUUGAACGCUGGCGGCAUGCCUUACACAUGCAAGUCGAACGGUAACAGGUCUUCGGAUGCUGACGAGUGGCGAACGGGUGAGUAAUGCAUCGGAACGUGCCCGAUCGUGGGGGAUAACUACUCGAAAGAGUAGCUAAUACCGCAUACGAUCUACGGAUGAAAGCGGGGGAUCGUCGGACCUCGUGCGGACGGAGCGGCCGAUGGCAGAUUAGGUAGUUGGUGGGAUAAAAGCUUACCAAGCCGACCAUCUGUAGCUGGUCUGAGAGGACGACCAGCCACACUGGGACUGAGACACGGCCCAGACUCCUACGGGAGGCAGCAGUGGGGAAUUUUGGACAAUGGGCGAAAGCCUGAUCCAGCAAUGCCGCGUGCAGGAUGAAGGCCUUCGGGUUGUAAACUGCUUUUGUACGGAACGAAAAGGUCUCUCUUAAUACGGGGGACUCAUGACGGUACCGUAAGAAUAAGCACCGGCUAACUACGUGCCAGCCGCCGCGGUAA